rnacentral:rRNA from 1 species
AAAGCAAUGAGAGGAUGCCUUGGGUAAAAAGGAGUAUGAAGGACGUAAUUGGUUGCGAUAAGCUACGAUGAGGUGCCAAUAGCCGCUUGAAGUCGUAGAUUUCCGAAUGGGGUAACCUGAUCUGUAUAUCAGAUCGCCAAAUGGCCAGAACCUGGUGAAGUGAAAUAUCUCAGUAGCCAGAGGAAAAGAAAUCGUAAGAGAUUCCCGUAGUAGUGACGAGCGAACUGGGAAGAGUCCAAACUCACAUAGUGUAAGGUGCUAGCCGUUGCUAUGAUGAGGGUUGUAGGAGUGUUGAGGAUCCACUAGUAAGGUUCCAGGGAGAGUAUGUUUAUUUAGAAGAAAUAUCUGAAAAGGUAUACCGCAGACGGUGAAAGUCCCGUAUUCAAAAAAUAAACAACCCCCCAAUACCACCUGAGUAGCGUCGGACACGAGAAAUCCGGCGUGAAUCCGCCCAGACCACUGGGUAAGACUAAAUACUUUUUUACACCGAUAGCGUAUAGUACCGUGAGGGAAAGGUGAAAAGAACCCCAGGAAGGGGAGUGAAAUAGAUUCUGAAACUCAUUGCUUACAAGGGAGUUGGAGCUCGCAAGAGUGACAGCGUACCUAUUGACGAAUGGGUCAGCGAGUUAUUGGUAGUAGCGAGGUUAAGGCAGGAAUAGCCGGAGCCGUAGGGAAACCGAGUCUGAAUAGGGCGUUUAGUUGCUAUUAAUAAACCCGAAGCGUGACGAGCUACGCAUGGGCAGGAUGAAGAGUUGGGAAACUGACUUGGAGGUCCGAACGGUUUGGUGCUGCAAAACCUUCCGAUGACCUGUGCGUAGGAGUGAAAAGCUCAUCGAGUUACGUGAUAGCUGGUUCUCUCCGAAAUGCAUAUAGGUGCAGCCUGCAAAUUAGAUCUUAUAGAGGUAGAGCUCUUAUAAGGCUAGGGGUGUCGAAAGGCAUUACCAAACCUUGUUAAACUUCGAAUGCUAUAAGGAAUUUUGUGGAGUGAGACUGUGGGGGCUAAGCUUCAUAGUCGAAAGGGUAACAGCCCUAAUUUCUGAUUAAGGUCCCUAAAGUAUGACUAAGUGGUAAAAGAGGUGCUUUUGCUUAAACAUCCAGGAGGUUUGCUUAGAAGCAGCAAUCCUUUAAAGAAAGCGUAAUAGCUCACUGGACAAGCGAAAGUGCGCUGAAGAUGUAACGGGGCUAAGUCAUAUACCGAAAUCGAAAGUCUUCUAACUAUGUUAGAAGGCGGUAGGAGAGUGUUCUUUACUGGCUGAAGGUCUGGCGUAAGCUUGGCUGGACGGUAAAGAAGUAAAAAUGCUGACAUGAGUAACGACGCAAGACGAAAAUUCUUGCUGCCGAAACCCUAAGGAUUCCAACGCAACGUUCAUCGUCGUUGGGUUAGGCGGGACCUAAGACUUCCUCGGAAACGAGAUGUCGAUGGAUAGCUGGUUAAUAUUCCAGCCCUUAUAUAAAGAGUGAUGGGGUAACACAUUGGGAUGUGUGGGAGCGUACGAAGGAUAUGGUACGUUGAAAGAGCAAGAUAUUCCGACUUCGGUUGGAUAGUAGAGAUAGGCAAAUCCGUCUUUAUAUCAUUCGAGCUUGAUCAGAAAGGAUUCCCUCGGGAUGAAUGAUUCUCAUAGUUUUGGUGUCAAGAAAAACCUCUAAACUUAUCUUUAUAUAACUCGUACCCAGAUCAGACACUUGUAGGGUGGUAGAGAAUACCAAGGCAAUCGAGACAACUAAUGAAUAAGGAACUUGGCAAAAUAGCGGGCGUAAGUUUGCAAUAAGCCCUGCCUGGAGCAAUUCAGGCCGCAGCGAAUGAUGUGGGGGGGACUGUUUAUCAAAAACACAGCUCUCUGCUAACUCGAAAGAGGAUGUAUAGAGGGUGAUGCCUGUCCAAUGCCAGAAUGUCAUGCUCUCUUGUGAAAGCUCGAGAGUUAAGCACUGGUGAAUGACGGCCGUAACUAUGACGGUCCUAAGGUAGCGAAAUACCUUGUCGGGUAAGUUCCGACGCGCAUGAAUGGCAUAACCAUCCCCACGCUGUCUUAUUUUUAGACUCGGUGAAAUUACAUUCCCGGUAAAAAUGCCGGGUAGUUGCAGUUAGACGGAAAGACCCUGUGAAGCUUUACUGUAGAUUGAUAUUGGGGUGUAGCAUACAUUGCUCAGAAUAAGUGGGAGACUUUGAGGUUUGGUUUUCGGACCAGGUUGAGUCACAAGUGAGAUACCACUCAAUAUAUGUAGCAUCUCUAACCCCCCAACAAGGGGGAACAGUGUCAGUUGGACAGUUUACCUGGGGCGGGUGCCUCCUAAAAAGUAACGGAGGCGUACAAAGGUUUGCUUGUCACGGAUGGAAACCGUGAUGGAAGUGUAUUCGCAUAAGCAAGCUUAACUGUGAGACUAACAGGUCGAACAGAUACGAAAGUAGGUGAAAGUGAUCCGGAUCUUCCAUGUGGAAGGGGAUCCGCUCAACGGAUAAAAGUUACUCCGGGGAUAACAGGCUAAUGGGAUCUAAGCGUUCAUAGCGACGAUUCCGUUUGGCACCUCGAUGUCGACUCGUCGCAUCCUGGGGCUGUAGAAGGUCCCAAGGGUUGGGCUGUUCGCCCAUUAAAGCGGGACGCGAGUUGGGUUCAGAACGUCGUGAGACAGUUCGGUCCCUAUCUACUGCAACCGUAAGCAAUUUGCGGAAUGCUGUCCCUAGUACGAGAGGACCGGGAUGGACUAGCCUCUAGUUGACCAGUUGUCAUGCCAGUGGCACGGCUGGGUAGCCACGCUAGGAAAAGAUAACCACUGAAAGCAUCUAAGUGGGAAACUUGUUCCAAGAUUAGAUUGCUCUCUCUUCGGAGGUAAGACCUCCCGUAGACUACGGGUUUGA